ACGGAAGGCAGCAGUAGGGAAUCUUCCGCAAUGGACGAAAGUCUGACGGAGCAACGCCGCGUGAGUGAUGAAGGUUUUCGGAUCGUAAAACUCUGUUGUUAGGGAAGAACAAGUUGGGUAGUAACUGACCCAACCUUGACGGUACCUAACCAGAAAGCCACGGCUAACUACGUGCCAGCAGCCGCGGUAAUACGUAGGUGGCAAGCGUUGUCCGGAAUUAUUGGGCGUAAAGCGCUCGCAGGCGGUCUUUUAAGUCUGAUGUGAAAGCCCACGGCUUAACCGUGGAGGGUCAUUGGAAACUGGAGGACUUGAGUACAGAAGAGGAGAGUGGAAUUCCACGUGUAGCGGUGAAAUGCGUAGAGAUGUGGAGGAACACCAGUGGCGAAGGCGACUCUCUGGUCUGUAACUGACGCUGAGGAGCGAAAGCGUGGGUAGCGAACAGGAUUAGAUACCCUGGUA
rnacentral:rRNA from 1 species